rnacentral:rRNA from 1 species
CCUACGGGAGGCAGCAGUAAGGAAUAUUGGUCAAUGGACGAGAGUCUGAACCAGCCAUGCCGCGUGAAGGAUGAAGGCCCUCUGGGUUGUAAACUUCUUUUAUCUGGGACGAAAAAAGCUCAUUCUUGAGCACUUGACGGUACCAGAGGAAUAAGCACCGGCUAACUCCGUGCCAGCAGCCGCGGUAAUACGGAGGGUGCAAGCGUUAUCCGGAUUUACNGGGUUUAAAGGGUGCGUAGGUGGGCAGGUAAGUCAGUGGUGAAAUCUCCGAGCUUAACUCGGAAACUGCCAUUGAUACUAUCUGUCUUGAAUAUCCUGGAGGUGAGCGGAAUAUGUCAUGUAGCGGUGAAAUGCUUAGAUAUGACAUAGAACACCAAUUGCGAAGGCAGCUCACUACGGGAUUAUUGACACUGAGGCACGAAAGCGUGGGGAUCAAACAGGAUUAGAUACCCUGGUAGUCCGACGACCGUAACGAUAGAUACUCGACAUCAGCGAUACAC